UUUCGGUUUUCUGCAAUUUCCCUUUACGUCCUCUUAAUUUUAAAACCCGAAACCCACUGUACAUCCAGUGAUCUUACUCUGAAACUGUACACCUUAACGUAUAAGUAACACACAACGUCACAAAUAAACAACAACACUUAUCCUCUUUCGGUAAUUAGAAUCCAAAUAUAAAAUAAACCAUUUCGUAUUCCAUUCAUGUUUACAGACACAAGUGUGCACAAGAAAUUAUCAUUGAAUAAUUUUUAAUUAAAUUAUUGUUUAAUGUUUAUUUUAUUUAUAUGAAAAAAAAAAAAAACAAAAAUAAAUAAAUUCCAUUUUAAUACAGUUGUCGUUUUUGUAAAAUAAAUAUGUAUUAAUAAAACGAUCAGCAGUAGUAAGUAAGCGGUAAAGAGCCAAAGAGUGUUAUAAAUACUAAAGUAAACAUAUAGUGAAACAACAACAAUAAUGGCAGCAAACCAAACAAACCGAUCGUAGUGAGGUUGAUGAUGAUGAAGAUGAUCGUAAUACAAAAACGAUGUUUUUGCAAAAAUUAUUUUCAAAGGCAACGGUAGAAACGAUUGUUGAGAGUGUUGAGUGCUGUUGUUGUUGUUGAUAGGCUGUUUGUGAUCGUGUUGGUGGGCUAGUGGGUUAACUGGUUGGUGGCGUUGAUGAGCGUUUAGUUUAACAUUUCAGCUUAGCGGUAUUAAACGUGCGUUGACUAACAAGCAUUGAACGUUACGGUUUAAACAAAUUUGAAAAAAAAGUGAACGAAAUUUUAAACGAAGAAAAAAAGAAACGGAAAACCUUAUAUUUGACAAGAAAUCGAGGCGUAGACAAUUUAACAUUUCAGCUUAGCGGUAUUAAACGUGCGUUGACUAACAAGCAUUGAACGUUACGGUUUAAACAAAUUUGAAAAAAAAGUGAACGAAAUUUUAAACGAAGAAAAAAAGAAACGGAAAACCUUGUUAGUUUUAAUUAAAAUGCAAAGAAAGUGAAAUUAAUUUAAAGCUAAAGAAUAGAAAUAUAAGAAAAUAUGAAAUAAUUUUUUAUAAAAAAUUAGAGUUAAAUUAAAAAAAUUCAGUGUUAGUGUUUAAAUGUA